rnacentral:lncRNA from 10 species
AUUUUACCAUAAUUAUCACCAGUUUAGUUUGCAGUUAAGUUACUGACAAUCCCUGCAGUUCAGAAUGACAGAAUUUACAUCAACAAAAAUCUAGUCAUUUAACUAGAUUUUGAAACUCCUAAUGAUCCAAAUGAGUAAUUCACACCUAUUACUGAAGCAGAUGCACACAUAAUAAAAAACCAUGUACCUGUAUUGUAUUUCAUGCCUGCGACUGUUAGUCUCUUGAGUGCAUUUUAAUUAGACUUCCUUUCCCACUAGUGAAAUCCAACGGUAGUCAAGUUUACCACUAUCAGGCCUCAUAUUACUUAAGUACUUUGCAACAGGUAACCCUGUUGACUACUUCCUCCUUCCUAAAACUUUUUCCACCUGACCUCUGGGAGGCCCUCCCUUGGUUCUUACCUCAGGGGCAGUUCCUUCUUUUUUAAAAUUUUUAAACUUUUUUCAGAUAGUGUCUCACUGCCGCCCAGGCUGGAGUGCAGUGGUAUGAUCACAGCUCACUGCACCCUCAAUCUCUCGGACUCAAGCCAUCCUCUCAGCUCAGCCGCCUGAGUAGCUGGGACUACAGAUGCCCAAUUAAUUUUUUUAGUUUGCCAGUCCCUGUUCUAGUUACCAGGGAGUUUAAUUAACAUUCAUCCCAAAAGACUUCGCUCUCUUUAUGUGAAAUAAGCUGAGACAAAGUUGCUUCCACUGAAUGAGUCUCUUUUUAUUCUCUUGGUAAUCUCUUCCAGUUAA